AGGCAUCAUGUGACAGUGUCUCUUUGUUAAGAACACGAAGUGUGUAUUUCUGUCAAAGUGCAGAUAUGCUACUUAAACAAUGCAGAAUUUAAGAUCAGUUACUAGUAAGACUUCAGGAUUGUUAUGAGAAGGGAAGUGGAACUGUUCAUUUGAUUAGAUGUGGAGAAUAUACAGAGUUGAUGCUGAUCACACUCUUCAAAGACAUCAUAUACUGUGAUGCAGUUAUCCUGGCCAGGAGAAGGAAUAGAUGCCAUUGCAAGAGACAGAAUAUUUGGAAUACCAUGAUGUACUCUGCCAAAGCUGCUACAAUAUCAAAGUUGUCAAAUGUGACUUGCCUUGAUGAUGUCUUGAACUGUCUUCAUACAAAGAUUAGACAGGGAACAUGUUAUCAAAAAUGUCCUCAGCAUUUUACUGGUACAGUUUUCCAUAAUAAAAGAUAACAGAGCAGACCAAGUAUGUUAGUCCAUACAGAUUGGGGUUUUGCAUGGGUGAAAAUUUUGUAUGUGAAAAAUCUGUGUGAAAAUAUGCAAAUUAGCUGAUUCACCUUUUGCUGUUUUGGACUUGGAAUUAGAAUUAAGAAGUCUGAAAAAGAUGACAUGAAAUGGAAUUGCGUAUCACAUAUAUAGUUGCAGUCUAGACUACAAAAUCUUGUUCUGUCAUUUUUUUCAGUAAUUUUAGAGUGAAUUUCUAAUGUAAAGCUUUCACAUACCAAAAAAAGUUCAAAAUUUGCACAUGAAAGAAACUGCUUAAGAAAAUUUGAUAUGAUUUUUCUGCCUAAGAGCACUAAUUUUGAACUUCUUGUAAAUAUUUCCCAACAUGUUUAGGAACUUUUAUUUUUCUACGUGCAAAUCUUAGACAUGCACAUUUUUUGAGCAAGUUUUUCUAUGCCCAGAAAACCUGUUCCAUGCCAAGAUUUGUGGGUAGACUAUAAUAAGGUGGCCAAUGAACACUCCUAGGCUGGCUACACUCCUUAGACUAGACCACAAGUCUAUCAAGUGUGACUAUUAACUGGAGAUUGUGAAGUGUACUUUCUUCUCUCCAUGUCAUUGUGGGUGGGUAUCAAAUGUGCUAGUAGGAAUAAAGUUUUGUAUAAUAAUGAGUGUGGCUACUAGGCUGUGAUGAUGACAGUGAUGAUGAUGGCUGUGUAUUGUUGGCUGGAAACAUGACUGAUGUUAUUUUUGCAAGAAAACCCAUGUAACUUCUUGUGAGGUAUAGGAUUCAAGAGAUACCUUCUUGAUUAUAAUCUCCCACAGUACAGAUGGAAAAGAGGACAGUAUUUGAAGUGGUGUUGAAUGGUCCCACACAGUUACAGAUACAAUGUAUAAUGGGUAAGCCUGAUGUAAUGGAAAUUGAUUAUCACUUGGACUUAAUUUUGCAGAAUGGGAAAGGAGACAGUGAUUUUUAUUUACAGUUCAAUUCAAAUAAUUAUGAUAAAUUGCAAAUCUAUAUUCACAGUGCCACAAAGUCAUGGUAGACAGAUCACCACACCAAAAAAACCCACUGUGGACAUUUCAAGAUUUGCCUCAGUGGAACACAGUAACUUGUAGACACAGUAUACCUGGACUCCACUAGUUGCUGGCAUCUGUGGUAGAUGCAAAAUACCCUUAUGAUUGUGGUUUCUAAUAUCUAUGCUUUCUACUACAAUGUACAUUAUCCAUGUUGAAGGAUGAUAUUUACAUGUGUCAGAUGGUUGAAAAAAGAUAUAUAGAAUAUAUAUUUCUUAUUUGAUGUGGUGAUUUGGGCCAAUGGACCUGGAGGGCAAGUUUAUGUGUGUGUAAGGUCAUUGUUUGCUGAUGGUAGUUUGUACAAAGGUCUUUUGACUGCCAGUAACAUCGAAGGCACAUAGAAGUGAUGCAUGUUCUGUGUAGAACUAAGAAAAGGUAGUCUUUUGAUGGUCCAUAGAAUUUUGUAUCCUGUUCAAUAUUACUGGUAAAUCAUAUUUUAUGCCUAGUUCUGGUUCAUAUUGUUUGUCAUUCAUGUUGUAUAUGUUAUAAUUUAAUCAUAAAAUAGCUAGUAUCUGUAACUGUAAAUGUGAUUGAAGAGAAUGUGGUCAACAUGUAUGGUAAUAAGAUAACUUCUCAAGGGUUGUUGGAAUAUUUGAAUAUUGAGGCUAACAUAAUUGUAAAAUGAUGAUUCCCAUCCUUAUUGGUGUCAUAGAUUGUACUGUAAAUUCAUAUACGUCUGCAGUGGUUUGAUUAUGGUGAUAGGGAAAGGAGAUUUUAAAGUACUGACGUAUGUUACACCGCAAAUGUCAUUGAUUUGCAAUGGCGAGGUCACCCUAAAACUGAGAAAAUAAACUCACUGUAAACGUUUAAAGAUUUACAGUAUGUACAGGUGGACUAAGAUAUUCAGAGCACAAUGUACUGCCGAUUGUUCACCUUUCCUUUUCUGUGGAAAGAGAAUUCUUGCACUCCCUUUGUACAAAAUCCAAGUUUAUUAAAAUUUGCCAAAGUUUCCUAGAGCAGCUUUACAAAGUAUCUCUUAACUCUUGGUUAUACACAACAAAGCCCUGAUAGUUGUAGACCAGUCUACAUUAUGUUUUACAACACACAUCUUCAUCAGAAACCAACUACAAUGUCUUGAUAUCUUAUGUUCAAGAAUUGUCACAAAGCACUCCUUUGUUUUCAUUACACUUGAUACUUAAAAAAAGUUGAUAUCCGUGAGAAGAUGUAAUACUAAGUGCCUUCAUGAUACAGGGGUGCCUAAGCAUUCAAAACAAUUUUAUGAAGCAUGAAUUUUAUAGAACAUACAUGAAGCACUAUGUAAAAUUGUGUGAAUCUUAUGAAAAAUGCACUAAGCACUGAGAAAUGUCCUAAUCUUAUGGAAAACACAGUUUUUGAUGGUAUACACUCGUUUGAUGCUUUUAGGUAAAAAUAAACACAACGAAACAUACCUUCUCCUAAUGCAGCGGUUGACCGGUUUGAAUUCUUGAAAAUACCUUUUCCAUAAGAUUUGCAUAGUAUACUUGAUGCAUUGUUUAUAAAAUUUGUAUGUUUUUGUACAGUGUUUUUUGUGUGUUUCAUGCUUUCAUGUCUUUUUCAUAAAAUUUGUACAAAUGCUUACGCACUCUUGUGAUCUGUGGUAAAUAAUAUGGACUAAUAAGUGUUCUCAGCACUGCAUGUCUUAUAAUAGGUUUUCAUUAGACACACAAUAAGAUAAUUAUAUGUCCAAUUGUCCACAUAUUGCAAGUGCUUAUAAAUUUGUCAUCAAUGAGUAAGUUGUAAGACUCUAUAGAUAACCCCAGGAAAAUGGGAUUGUCCUUUGUAGAAUAAUAAAUUGUUCUGCUAUUUCUGUA